rnacentral:misc_RNA from 1 species
AUAUUUUGUUUCAUCGCCGAAGCGAUCGUUACAUUCGACUGAACUUGUGACGGGUGUGUAAAGAGGGUCGAGGCGCGGCGGCGGGUCUUUCGACCCAGCCGCACCUCUCAGGUGCACAGGGGUUGAGUGGACGAGGCGCCGAGCACUUGCCGAAGCCAGCUCAGACGCGUUUAAACUCGAUAAUGAUCCUUCCGCAGGUUCACCUACGGAAA